rnacentral:rRNA from 1 species
AACGAACGCUGGCGGCAGGCCUAACACAUGCAAGUCGAGCGGUAACACAGAGGAGCUUGCUCCUUGGGUGACGAGCGGCGGACGGGUGAGUAAUGCCUGGGGAUCUGCCCGAUAGAGGGGGAUAACUACGGGAAACUGUAGCUAAUACCGCAUAAUGUCUACGGACCAAAGUGGGGGCUCUUCGGACCUCAUGCUAUCGGAUGAACCCAGGUGGGAUUAGCUAGUUGGUGAGGUAAUGGCUCACCAAGGCGACGAUCACUAACUGGUUUGAGAGAAUGACCAGUCACACUGGAACUGAGACACGGUCCAGACUCCUACGGGAGGCAGCAGUGGGGAAUAUUGCACAAUGGGCGCAAGCCUGAUGCAGCCAUGCCGCGUGUGUGAAGAAGGCCUUCGGGUUGUAAAGCACUUUCAGCGGGGAGGAAGGGUCACUAGUUAAUACCUAGUGGCAUUGACGUUACUCGCAGAAGAAGCACCGGCUAACUCCGUGCCAGCAGCCGCCGUAA